rnacentral:rRNA from 1 species
ACGAACGCUGGCGGCGCGCCUAACACAUGCAAGUCGAACGGGGUUAUACUGGAUGAAGUUUUCGGAUGGAAUUCUAUAUAACCUAGUGGCGGACGGGUGAGUAACACGUGAGCAACCUGCCUAUCAGAGGGGGAUAACGAUUGGAAACGAUCGCUAAUACCGCAUGACAUAGCGAAACCGCAUGGUUUUGCUAUCAAAGAUUUAUCGCUGAUAGAUGGGCUCGCGUCCGAUUAGAUAGUUGGUGAGGUAACGGCUCACCAAGUCGACGAUCGGUAGCCGGACUGAGAGGUCGAACGGCCACAUUGGGACUGAGAUACGGCCCAGACUCCUACGGGAGGCAGCAGUGGGGAAUAUUGGGCAAUGGGCGCAAGCCUGACCCAGCAACGCCGCGUGAAGGAAGAAGGUCUUCGGAUUGUAAACUUCUUUUAUGAGGGACGAAGGACGUGACGGUACCUCAUGAAUAAGCCACGGCUAACUACGUGCCAGCAGCCGCGGUAAUACGUAGGUGGCAAGCGUUAUCCGGAUUUACUGGGUGUAAAGGGAGCGUAGACGGAGCAGCAAGUCUGAUGUGAAAGGCAGGGGCUCAACCCCUGGACUGCAUUGGAAACUGUUGAUCUUGAGUACCGGAGGGGUAAGCGGAAUUCCUAGUGUAGCGGUGAAAUGCGUAGAUAUUAGGAGGAACACCAGUGGCGAAGGCGGCUUACUGGACUGUAACUGACGUUGAGGCUCGAAAGCGUGGGGAGCAAACAGGAUU